rnacentral:rRNA from 1 species
AUUGAACGCUGGCGGCAUGCUUUACACAUGCAAGUCGAACGGUAACAGGCCGCAAGGUGCUGACGAGUGGCGAACGGGUGAGUAAUGCAUCGGAACGUGCCCAGUCGUGGGGGAUAACGCAGCGAAAGCUGCGCUAAUACCGCAUACGAUCUAUGGAUGAAAGCGGGGGACCUGUAAGGGCCUCGCGCGAUUGGAGCGGCCGAUGUCAGAUUAGGUAGUUGGUGGGGUAAAGGCUCACCAAGCCGACGAUCUGUAGCUGGUCUGAGAGGACGACCAGCCACACUGGGACUGAGACACGGCCCAGACUCCUACGGGAGGCAGCAGUGGGGAAUUUUGGACAAUGGGCGCAAGCCUGAUCCAGCAAUGCCGCGUGCAGGAAGAAGGCCUUCGGGUUGUAAACUGCUUUUGUACGGAACGAAACGGCUCUGGUUAAUACCUGGGGCUAAUGACGGUACCGUAAGAAUAAGCACCGGCUAACUACGUGCCAGCAGCCGCAGUAACAC